CAUACAAGAAUAAUUGUUAAACCAUUUUUAGUUUGAAAAAAGACGAAUUCAAUAGCGAAGAGCGUCACGGCUUGUGAAGCGACGACGCUCCACUCAUUUUACAUUUUUAUUACGUUCCAAGUUUUAAAAAUAAUAAUUUUAAUUCGGUAACCCGGAAGUUUUAUACUUUUCCCGUGACCCGGAAGUAAUUCGCUUUGCGCGCGAACCGACCCUCCCCCCUCAGCUUCCGGUAUCGACUCGGCAUGGAAGGCCUCAACUCAGAGAGUGUCCGAGCUGGGUGUAAGAAAUGUGGAUACCCCGGACACUUGACGUACGAGUGCCGCAACUUUGUACGAGCCGACCCUCAGAAGGACGUGGUCCUUGACGUGAGUAGCACGAGCACAGACAGCAGUAGCAGUAGCAGCAGCGGCGAUGGCGGAGGAGGCGGUGGUGGAGGUGGA